rnacentral:siRNA from 1 species
GUAAAUCAGAUUUGAGUGAUCCUA